AGUGAACGCUGGCGGUAGGCCUAACACAUGCAAGUCGAACGGCAGCACAGUAAGAGCUUGUUCUUACGGGUGGCGAGUGGCGGACGGGUGAGGAAUACAUCGGAAUCUACUUUUUCGUGGGGGAUAACGUAGGGAAACUUACGCUAAUACCGCAUACGACCUACGGGUGAAAGCAGGGGAUCUUCGGACCUUGCGCGAUUGAAUGAGCCGAUGUCGGAUUAGCUAGUUGGCGGGGUAAAGGCCCACCAAGGCGACGAUCCGUAGCUGGUCUGAGAGGAUGAUCAGCCACACUGGAACUGAGACACGGUCCAGACUCCUACGGGAGGCAGCAGUGGGAAAUAUUGGACAAUGGGCGCAAGCCUGAUCCAGCCAUACCGCGUGGGUGAAGAAGGCCUUCGGGUUGUAAAGCCCUUUUGUUGGGAAAGAAAAGCAGCAGGUUAAUACCCCGCUGUUCUGACGGUACCCAAAGAAUAAGCACCGGCUAACUUCGUG
rnacentral:rRNA from 1 species